AAACUUGGAAAAGCUCAAAGCAUUGGUGCUUCGUCGAUGCUACAACUUGAGAUAUGUGCCUUCACUAGAAAAGCUUGAGGCUCUAAGAAAGUUGGACCUCAAUCGUACAGCUAUUGAAAAGGUGCCUAAAGGUUUGGAAAUGUUAUCAAAUCUAACUUAUCUUAAUUUAUGUGCUGAAAGCUUAAAGGAGCUGCCAGUUGCAAUUCUACCCAGGCUUUCUUGUCUGCAAUGUUUGAUGUUAUACGUUGAAUCAAGUCGUAUAAGAAUGAAUGGAUUCGAUGCUACCAGAUUAACGAAGCUAGAGAGAUUUGAAGGGAGAUUUACUGAGUUGAUAGACUUUAAUGCCUACACCAAGUCUAUACAAUGUCAACUGCUCACUUCUUACUUGCUUGUCAUGGCACCACUUGAAGCCAAGUUUAACGUGAAACAACGUAUAAAAGGCAUAAAUUGUGUUUACCGUUUCAAGUUGUUGAAUGUGGACAGCGACAAAGGGAGGCAGAAGGCGAUGAUGCUCGCAAGCGGGCUCCAAGGUACGGAUGCAAUUAAAUCCAUAAAAAUUCAAUAGAGUAGGGACCAUUUAGAAGGCCGAUUAAGGCCAGUGCGGGUAAGUUGGUAGUCCCAACUGUGUUGAAUGUCAUCGUGUGGCGCUGUGGAGACUGUAUCUCCACCCUGCUGCAUACCCAUGUUUUCUGACUGGACCCUUAAAGGUCCAGUGCCACUCACCGCACUCCCCUUCCCAUUAUAUCUCCUAAAGCUUUAUUAUAAUAAUAAUAAUAAUAAUAAUAAUAAUAAUAAUUAUUAUUAUUAUUAUUAUUAUUAUUAUUAUUAUUAUUAUUAUUGUUGUUGUUGUUGGACAAACCUUUAUUUCUCCCCCCAUCUUCUUGUUGUUUGUUGGUUUUUUCCCUUUUAUUUAUUCAAGGCUUUUAGUUAAUUAUUUAGUUAUAAAUGAAUUUAUAAAAUUAUCAUAGUAAAGGUUUAGAGUAAAUACUUUACACAUAUAAUUAAUUACACAAAAUAGCUUUAUAAUUAAUUAAUUACAAAUAAGAGUAAAGAGCCAGAACAUUGUAAAUUCUAAAAUAAAAGCAUAAGAAUAAUAUAUAUAAAUAUAUAAAUAAAUCAAGAAAUAAUCGAAUAAAUUGCCAUUAAUAUAUAAUCAUUUUUAAUAUAAAAUAAUGUGUCAACGAUUAAAAUUUUUAAGAUUUUAAAUGUUAAAUAAUGUUAUUAGGGAAAAAAAAGGUUAAAUAAUAUUAAAAUACAUAUAAAAACAACAAAAAAUUUAUUUUUUAAGUAUUAAUUAAUGUGAAUAUGUUAUUAUCAAUUCUUUUUAAAUAAUAUUAAAAUACAUAUAAAAACAAACAAAUUUUAUUUUUUUAAGUAUUAAUUUAUGUGAAUAUGUUAUUAUCAAUUCUUUUUUUUUAUUAAUUUCCCAUUACUUAUAGCAAAACUACUAUUUGGCAUAAAAAUAUUUUAAUAAAAUUUAUUUAUGACAUAAAUGUCAAAUUAUUUAAAAAUUAUGUUACACUCAAACUUUAGUUUGGCAUUUGUAUUUGUUUUGUUAAUAUAAUUUACUCACUGCCAUUUGUUUUUAUUAUCUAAUCACUUCGUAUUAUCCAUUUUGGUUCUACUGUGUUAUAGUUACUUGUACGUAGAGCAAUUAAAUUCUCUUUUACAAACCUUUUGAAUAUCACUUAAACCAAUUAUUUAAAUUCUAAAAUAAUCGUAUAUGACUCUACCGAGUGUAUUUUAUAAAGUUAUACUAAAUAUUAUAUUAUUUAAAUUUAAAAAAAUUAUAAAAUUAUGCUAAAAAUUAUAUUGUAAAAAAUAAUUUAUAUGUUACAAAAAGUCUUACAAUCUUUUUUUUUUUUAGUUAUGAAAAAAAAUUAUAUAAUUUGUAAGAAAUGUUAUGAAAGUUAUUGAACACUAUAUAAUUUUUUUAUAAAUAUUUUAUAUUAUUUUUUACCUGAUUUAUUUAUUAUAAAAAUAGUUAUAGCAUAAGUUUUUAUCCAAAUUAAGUUUAAGUUUUUAUAAUCAAAACUAAAUUAUAAAGUUUGUAAUAAUAAUGAUUUACUCAUUUAUUUCAACAUCAUAUAUUUACAAAUUAUGUAGUUUUCAUUCUUUAAAGGUUUAUUUAAAUUGUUAUUUAUUUAAACACUUAAAUUUUACAUUCCAACCAAAUAAAAUAAUCUUAUAUUCACCCACAAUUCUAUUAUUCCACAAACUAACUACACCUUUAAAUUUUUAUUUAUUUAUGCUCCUGUGCUUUAAUACGGUAUGGUGGCUAAUGUAGUACCCCCCCCCCCAAAAAAAAAUACAAUUGGCAAUAGUAACACUAAUGAUUAAUUAUAUUAGAAAUUGAGUUUGAUAAGUACUAUCAUUCUUGAUUGGUGAAGGUGCGGAAUCUGUUUCCUUGAUCUCUAAAGAUAGGACGAUUCUGGAAGUGUCUGGUGACUCAGAAAUGGGACCCACUAAAAUUGCGGCAAAUUGGAAGAAACGAGGUAUAGAAGUGCAGCUCGUGGAUGAGCGGUGGGACCCUACCUCUCUUCCUAUGAAAUACGUGAUAUUAAGCGGGUGUCCGAUAGGACGAGAAGAUCCAGCAGAGCUCCCAAGUGACGUUAGGACUCUGAAAAUUUUUGGGUGCCACAAUAUCAGAAGCUUAAGUGAUAUGCCCUUCUUUCAGCAAACAAAUGAGUUGGGGUUCUGUUCGAUUCACGAUUGUAGAGGGAUAGAAUCUGUGCUUGAUCUGUCGUCACCAUCCCAAUCAUGCACCCCAUUUGAGAACCUUGACCUCUUGUGGCUUGAAAAUUUAGAGAACCUUCAUGUGCUUGUUAAACUAGCAGAAGCAUCCGUUGUUUCUACAUUGAGUUCGCAGUCUAUUCCAGCCAUCUUUUCCCAUCUUAAAUCAUUUUAUAUUGAAGGAUGCUCAAACAUGAAGCAGCUCUUUCCCUUUGACUUGGUACAUGACCUCCAAAACCUAGAGAACCUCAUAGUUCGUGGUUGUGGACAAAUCGAGGAAAUAAUAGGAUCAAAAGAAGAGGAAGAGAAUCACAAGGGAAAUGGAACGCAAGCUCCAACAAAGUUCAGCCUUCCCAAAUUAAGGGAGUUAGAAUUGAAGAACUUACCAGAGCUGAAGAGCAUAUGCAGUUCAAAUAGGGAAAUGGUAUGCAACUCUCUUAUGAAAAUCGAAGUAAAGAAAUGUACCAAUCUAAAAAGGAUGCCUCUGUAUCUUCCUCUUUUUCAAGAUACACACCAAUCAGCUCCUUCUGCUCAUCCUUUUUUACUAAUCCGCAUAGAUCCAAUGGAGUGGUGGGAAUCAGUAGAGUGGGACUAUCCGAAUGCUAAGGAGGUUCUGCGACCUUGGUUGAAAUUGUAUUAGCGCUGCUGGAAGCCUUUGCUGUUCAUAUCAAAUUCCGGAUCAAGCUAAACAGUGAGUCUUCAUUUGUUGUUUUUAUUUCUAGAAAAAAAAUUGAAGAUCUUUUAUUCUACCAAAAAGAAAACGGGAAAUCUGCAAGAAGAGGAUUAUGAUUGGCAAAAUAGAGACCAAAGAGAACAAAACUAUUACUAAUGUUUGAAACAAAUUUAGAUCAAUUAGCAUCAUGCUUUGUUACCAGCUGUAGGCCAAAUUGGUUGAAAAUGGUUUCAGUAAAGCACGGUCUCAUUUGCUUCUUUGUUUAACCCCAAUGGUUAGGCUUGCUCUAGAACCCUUGAGAUUCUCAUUAUGACAUUAAUGAUUUGAAUGAACCAACAGCCCCUUUUUCUUCUUUAUUUUGUAACUGCAAGCUUUAAGUUGAUAUAAAUAUGUUUUCCAAUGUAGUAUUCUUGUUUGCUUAGAUCAAUGUCAAAAACCUUGCCUCUAAUGCUUCCCUUACUUCUCCACUUUUUUUUUUUUUUUUAAAUUCUUUGUGGGGUCUUAUUAAAUACAGGUUGUUUAUGCCAUUCUAAAGCUAGCAAAGCAGUUGGCUUGACAAUCAAAUCUUGGAGAAACAAGUCAACCCAACUCAUCACUGUACCUUCAUUCUUCUGUGGGGGUUCUAUCUUUGAUGUGGUACUUCGUCGGAUGCAUCCUUCUCUUGUGGUUUUAUCUGUAAUAAAUGAACUUCAAUUUGGUUUCAAUGUGAUUGGAUUGUUGAUGUUGUAAUUCAACUUUGUACUUGAUAAUCCUGCUUCUAGUUUGCAUCAUUUUUUACUAUGUGGUUAUGUUUCCUGUGGCUUAAUUGUCUCAUUUGAUCUUGGAACUUGCACAUUUAUAUAUAUAUAUAUUGAACCAUCCCACAGGUAUAUACCACUUCUUGAAAUGGUGUUUUAUUUAGGUGGCCUUUUUGCUAUUGUGAACCAUCCCAAUGCUAAGCAGGAUCUGCUACCUUGGUAAUGCUAUAGCGCUACUGAAAGGCUUUGUACUUAGAUCAUCUUGAUUUUAAUUAAUUUGCAUCAUUUCAUUAUUUGAUUGUAAGUGUAUUUUCUCAUCUUGCGAAUUGGACUUAAUAAUCUAAGUUGUUUGCUUAUCAAUUAUACUUUUUACAAAACAAGUCCAGGAAAAGAUUGCAAACAGGGUUACAGGAUUGCUGGGAUUUCAAUUUUAUGUGUAUGCAUAUUAUUUAAUUUCUUAGGAUUAGAGCUCAUUUAUUUAUUUAUACUAGAUUUAUGGCACACUCAAUUGUGUAAAUUUUGGUUACAAUGAUAAAAUUAGUUCACAUCGUGCAUAAAGUUCUAAAUUCAAAUCAAUUUAUAGUAAGUUUUUAUUGAUUUAUAUUGUGUAAAAAAACAAAAACACUCUCAUUAGAAAUAAUUAAAGUUAAAUAUGGGUGAAUAUUUUAAUAAUUCCGUAGUUAACUUAAUACCUAACAGAAUCGAUAUAGUACUUAAAAUAAGUAUACACGUAAGUAUAGAUGAUGACUAUAAAAUAAUUUAGGCACUAAUUUCAGAGUGUUGUUAUAUCCAAUACCCACCACCUAGAGGCUUUCAAGCUAUAGAAAGGGUCCAAAACUCUAUCUAUUCCUUGCAUCUGAUGGUGGGGUAAUGUUUAGACAUAAUCUAGAUUUGGAUUUGAUUAUCUAGAAUUUUCAAAUUAAAUUGAUUUGGUUUCAGAAUUAGAAUAAAAAGCUAGUUUUGAAAUUUAUUUUAUUUAAGUUGGAAUGUAUUUUAUUUUGAGUCUAAUUUAAUUAAUAAAAUAAUUUUAAUUUAAUAUAUUAAGUCAAGAUUUUUAGUUGAUUAAGCAAUUUAUUAGUGAUUAAUGGAACUAGUUCAAAAAUUUAUCUUAACUGAAAUAAUUACAUUAAAAAAAUUUAAAAUAUCAUAGAGUGAACAUGAUAUAGUUUACUUUUUUUCAUCCUACUUAUGAGUCUUCUUGAAUAGUUUCAUUAUCUUCACAAUUUGCAUUCAUGUAGUUAUAUCACUCUACUUUUAGUUAUCCAUAAUUAAUUUUUUGAAAAAAUAUAUAUAACAAUGAAAAGUUAAGAAAUUUCAACCAAAAAAAAAAAAAAACACUUUUUGUUGAGGCUAUAGAUCAAAUGGCUAUAUUUGUUAAAUGACUACUCCAACCGUUAAAACCAUCUUUGUGAAAAAAAUCAGCUUGAUCAAGAUUGUAUACAGGAGCUAGAAUUGAAUGACUAAUAAUUUAAAUUGUUUUAAAAAAAUUAUUCAACUUUAACAAUUUCUUUUGAGAUUAAAAAAAUUUAAUCAAUUUUUUAAUAAAUUAAAUUUUAUCCAUCCCUAAUCUUUUAAAUAUAAAGAAAGACCCUAAACAGAUUUUUUAUUAAAAAAAUUAUAAGAUGAUAGAUAGCUACUUAUCAUUAAAUGUAGAAAAUAUUAAAUUACUUUUAUUUUAUUAAAAUAUUAAAAUAAAUUAUUUUUUAAAAUGAAAUAUUCAAAUUACCCUAUGUAUCUUUUAUCCAAAACUAUCUACAAUAAUAUAAAAUAUUAUAUUAAUAAAAUUAAAAUUAAUAAAACAAAUAAUCUUUUAAAAUCAAUAUUUACUUUUGUUAAAACAAUAUAAUUAUAUUCGAUACUUAUAUUUACUAAUUUAUCAAAUAAUUUUUAAUAUAAAUUUAAAACUUAUAAAAUUUAAUGGUAAAAAUUCAGUAGUUAAAUUUUUAAUAAUUAAAAUUUUAAUUUAUCAUUAGAUUAUGUAAGAAACAACAAUAAUAUAUAAAUAAUGAAAGUCAAUUACGUUCAUUGUCUUCCAUUAAAGAAAAGUUACACUCACAGUUUUUCAGUGAUAUUUCAGAUUUAUUUUUUAAUUAGUUUUUUAAUAAUAUAAUUUUUUUAUCGUAAUCAAGAUAUUCACAGUAGAUAGUAGUUACUAAUCUCUUUGUCGCAGGUAAAUAAUGUAUUUUUAAUUAUAAUAAUUAGUAUAUUCGUUAUUUAAAUUAUUGAAGAUAAUUAAAUUAUAUUAUCUUAUUUUAAAAAUCAAACUUAUAAUAAUAAAAAAUUUUAAAUGAUAAUUAAAGCAUUUAUAUUAUAUUUAAUGUAGAAUAUAAUUUUACUUCAUUUAAUUUAUACAGAACAACAUUACUAAUAAUAAUAAUAUAAUUAACAUAUAAAUUUUAUUUUGUCAUUCAAAUGCAAUGCUAAUAAAAAAAUUGUAAAAAUUAUAAUAAAAAAAGUAAUAUAUCAUAGGGAUCAUAUAUAAAAUCACUUAAUAAAAAAAAUUUAAUCUUCACAAAAUUCCAAUCUAUCCCAAAUAAAGUCAUAAUAAUAAAUUUCUUGAUAUUAAUCAAUAAAGUUUAAAACAAAAAAUAUAUAUAUUAUCAAAUUAGGAAAACCUACUUGAAAAUCUUGAAAAAUUAAUAUUUAUCAUAUAAAAUUCUAGAGAGAAAAAGAGAAUACGAAAAAUAUUGGAGAAAGUGAUGAAUAUUAAAAAGAAAAAGAAUAAGGAGUUUUGAGAUUUUGAGUAGGUUCAGAGAUAUUUAUUUCUUUUAUAUAAAUAAAUUAUUUUUAUAACAAAAUGUAAUAUCCAAAAAAAUUUACAGUAAGAUAUUAUCUUUGAUAUAAUAAAUAAGGAAAUAAAAUAAAAAAAAAGGAAAAUUUUAGAGCUAAGUCAACAUGGGGAAGUAUAUUAUAUUACAUAUAAUAUAAUAAGUAGAGUAGAUUAUAGAAAAGAUCCAUAAUAAUUAGACCUCCUCUGCUUUCCCCCAUAUUUGUUUUCCGGCCUCUUAGACUUUUGUCUAGCAAAUAUUACAACUUCUAGUUUCCAUAAGUUGUGGAUUAGUAUUUAUAUUUUAACUUGAUUAAUUUAAGCCAUUAUAUUUUUCUAAUCGGUCUUAAUUCCUGUAAUUUUUAAAUUAUUAAAUAUAAUUAAAUUAUUUUAUUUUAUUUAAUAAUUCAAAUAUUAUAAUAAUGAUAACUUUCAAAUUAUAAUUAAAUCACUUUAAUUAUAUUCAAUAUAAAUAUAUUUUUACUUCAUAUAAUUCAUACAAAGUAACAUUACUAAAAAUAAUAGCAUAAUUAACAUAUACCAAUUAUUUUAUCAUUCAAAUAUAGUGCUAAUAUUUUUUAAAUAAUUAUUGAAGUCUUCAUUAUUCAAUGUACUAUUCAUUAAAUUUUUAUAUAUGAAAUAUAAAAUACUUAUUAUAUAAAUUAUUUAAAUUUGCUAUUUUGGAACCAACAUAUAUUUUCCAUAGAAACGCAAUGAUUAAAUUAUAAAUUAAUUUAAUAUAAAUAUUAACUUUUUAUUUACUAUUCUAAAUUUUAGCAGAAUCAAAUUUUUUAUAAUUUUUUUAAUUUAUAAGUAUGAUAAAUUUUAUUAUCAAAUAAAUUUUUUUAACCAAACAUUUUAGUAAAAUUAAUUUUUUAUAAAUAUGAUUAAUCUUAUAAAUAAUAAAAUAUUUUAAAAUAAUAAAUUUAAUAAUAUAACAAACAAUAAAAAUUAUAUUGAUUAGUUCGAAUCUAAACUCGUAUUUUUAUAUAUAUUAGUCUUUGACAUAUGUGCAAUGUUUAUAUUUUUAUUAUUCUUUUUACAAUAUUAAAGAAGUACUUAUGUUUGUUUGAAAGAUGGAUAUAUCGCAUAUAUAUAUUUUAUUAUCUUUACAAAAUUAAUUAAAAUAUUAUAAUAAAAUAAUUUAGUAUAACAUAUAAAAUAAACUAAAUAAAUGUGUGAUCAUAAUGAAUGAAGAUUAUAAUUUUGCAUCAUUAUCGAUUUAAACGAUCUUUCAUCUCUUUCUUAUAGUGUUGUCAUUUGACAAUCACUUGAAAUUUCCUUUGAAAACCUAUUACUUUAAUACUCAAUAUUUUUUAGAUACUUAAAACUUAUCAAUCUAACAGUCUUCAUUUGUUGAAUAAUAUUUAUAAUAAUAGAUCUUAAUUUUAAUUGGUAUAUAAAUAUAACACUAAUUAAAUGAUAACUGAUUUAAAAUAAUAUUUAUUAUUAAUAAUUAAUAUACUCAAUUGUAUAGUUCAAACCAAUAAAAACUCUAUUAUACAAAAAAUAUUAUUAUUAUAAUAAUUUUAUCUAUUAACUUUUAUUGAGACUUUAUCUAUUACUAGUAUACCUAUCAUACCCAUAUUCGUGUGAAAAUAUUUAGAAUGUAUGUGACCGUAUUUUCAAAUGAAAAAAAAAAUCUAUUAUUUAAAAAAAUAUUUUAAACUCAUACUUUUAUAUAUAUAUCAAACUCGUGCACAUCUAUAUUAUUAUUAUUAUUAUUUUGUACAAGAGGGACAUGCUACAAAAUUGAUGUGAAUAAAAUCAUAAAAGAAUUUAAAAUGAUAAGAUAUUACUUAUUGAUUAAAUUGAAUAGUUUAAGUAAUAAUGAAAAUAUAAUUAAAGAUGGAUUAUUUUAAUAAUUGUUAUGAUUUAAAUAAAGGUAAAAUAACAACUCUUUCUUAAAAAUUUAUGAUUAAAUAUUAAAUUUCAAAAAAUAAAAAGUAUUAAAGAAAUUAGAUUAAAGUUUGAUUUAAUUUAUAUAUGCAUACUAAUAAUAUAUAAAAUUAAGGGUAAGCUACACUUAUGGUCACUUUUGUUUGAUUUAACAAUGUCUUUAUCAUUUCACGGAGAUAAUACCAACACUAACAACCAUACUUUUUGCUACAAAGAUAAUAUCAAUUUCAAGCCUUAGUGGUCUCGUGUCUUAAUCUAUUUUUAGCUCAAGCAUCGGAGAGAGAUUACAGGUAAAGGAUAUGGCAUUUUAUAUUUCCAACUUUGUCAAUUGAAUAAAAAAAAAUAAAAGGUAUUUUUGAAAGUCAUUUUUUAUAUAAAAUCUUUAAAAUAUUUUUUUACUUUUAAAAUUUUUAAUUUUUUUUAUAAUUUAUAUUUAAUUUUUAAAAUUUUAAGAAUUUUUAAAUAUUUUUAUAAUUUUUAAAAUUCAGACUAAAAUGACAAAUUUUGUAAACAUUGAGGACUAACUUUGUUGAAUUUUUAAAAUUUAGGAUCAAAUUAGUAGAAUGUGUAAAUAUUGAAGGGUUAAAUUUUUUAUUAGGCCAAUAAAAUAAAGUCACGUUAGACUAACUCACGGAAGAAUGACUAAAAUAUUUAAUUUCAAAAAAUUAAAUAAUUAAAAAAAAAUUAAUAGUUGGGUGAUUGAAAUAGAACAAUAUGAAUAGUUAGAUGACUAUUCUUGUACUUUACAACUAAAAUAUUAAUUUAAUUUAGGUUUAACAUAUUUCUGUUAAUCAAAUUGUAAAAAUAUUCAGUAAUUGUUGGUCUAACAAAACAAUUUAAUAGUUUCACAAAAAAAAAAAUAGUUUAAUUCAAAACUUAUUAAGAAAAAAAUAUUUAAUAAUGAAAAAAAGAAAAGCAUUUUUUUAAAAAAUUUGUAAUAAUAAGAAAAAUAUUUUCUUAUAAAAAUAAGAAAAAUAUUUUUUAAUAAUAAAACACAAAAAGAAUUCACAAAAAUACUGUAAUACAAAAAGGGAAAAUUGUAAUUAAAUAUUUUUUAAUAUUAUUUUAAAACAAUUUAUAAAAAUAAUUAAACAUUUUAAAAAGUCAAGAUGUUUUUAAUUCAACCAAAGUACUUUGCACGUUGUAUCGAAAGUAUAUUAUUUAAAUUUUAUAAGAAAAAUAUUUUUAAAUAAAUAAAAAGCACAAAAGAAAAUAAUUUAAUUAUAAUAAGUAUUUUUCGGGUAAAAAGAGGGGAAAAAAUAAAAGAAUUCAUAAAAAUGAUAUGAAAAGGAAAAGUUAAUUAAAUGCUUUAUAAUAUUAUUUUAAAAGAGCUCAUAAAAAUAAUUAAAAAUUUUAGAAGAAUAUUUUAGUUUUUCUUAACACUUUUUGGAGCUGACACAUAAUUUAUAGAUAGAUAGAUAAUCAUACCCUAAAAAUCUAUCCUUUAUAAAGAACUAAAUGUAGUUGUUAUUAUUACCUUGCAGAGUAUUUGGUGAAUUAUGGAAUUUGUAGGACCAAUUUGUGAAGCAUUAAAGUGCUUAGGAGAUCCAACAUGUACAUACAUAGAGCAUCACAGAAAACUUGAAGACAGGAUGAAUGAUCUUCUGGCAAAACAACGCCAACUAAAUGCUAUGAAGCGAGAUGUGGAGCUGAGAAUAGAGGCGGAGCUUCGAUGGGGAAGACUUUUAAGGAAAGAAGUAGAGAACUGGCUUCUAGAGGUGCAAACCGUCAAUGGCAAAGUACAGGAGGUUGAUAAAAGAAAGCAAAAUGUGUCUUGUUUUUCACGUGGGCGCCUUGGGAAACAAGUUUCCCAAACAGUUGAAGAAGUAAAGGAAAUUAUUGAACAAGGCAGGUUCACUGGAGCUCUAGUAAUUGAUGAUCCAUCUACUGCUGGAGUGCCUUUUCAGUUGGAACAUUUGGAAGGUGAAACCGAGGUGAUUGAAGUCAUUUGGAAGCAUUUGAUGAGUGAUGAAAUUGGAAUGGUUGGUGUAUGUGGAAUGGGCGGGAUCGGGAAAACCACUAUAAUGAAGCACAUACACGAUCAACUAUUGGAGGAGACUAAAUCUAAACCCUUGUUUGAGAAAAUCAUUUGGGUCACUGUUUCACAGGACUUCAACAUCACCAGGUUACAACAAGACAUUGCAGAUGCUAUGAAUAUUAAAGAUCUUCCGGAAUCUGAAGAAAAGCGUGCAGCUGUGUUAAGGAACAAAUUGCGACAAAUAAGAUAUGUAUUGAUCUUAGAUGAUGUUUGGGAAGGGUUCGUUCUCGAAAAGGUAGGGAUCCCUGAACCAAUAUCCAGCAAUCGGAGUAAGUUGGUAUUAACUAGUAGAUUGAAAGAGUUUUGUAAAUCUAUAGGCUGUCAUGAGAUAGUCGAAGUGCCUCUACUUUCCUUUGACGAGUCCAUGAAUUUAUUCUUGGUUCAUACCGGACAUGAGGUUCUAAAGGUUCCAUCUUUGGAAAAAAUUUUGGGCGAUAUUGUUAGAGAGUGUGAUAGGUUACCCCUUGCCAUAAAAGUAAUAGCUAGUAGCAUGAAGGGAAUAUAUGAUGUUGUUGAAUGGAGGAAUGCAUUAACAGAGUUACGUAACCAUGUAACAAGUGUGAAGGACACAGAUAAAGAAAUAUACGGGCGAUUAAAGUUCAGUUUCGACCGUUUGAAAGAUUUGAAUAUCCAAAAUUGUUUCCUUUAUUGCUCACUGUACCCAGAAGACUAUAGAAUUCCAAGGAUGGAAUUAAUAGAAUAUUGGAUAGACGAGAGAUUUCUUGAAAUGGCGAGUCGACAACAAUUGCAUGAUAGGGGUCAUACUAUAUUAAAUAGGCUGAUAAACAACUGUUUGUUGGAAAAGGCAGGAGAUGAUGUUAAGAUGCAUGAUGUGAUGAGAGAUAUGGCAUUGUAUAUCAAACAACUUCAUUUUAUUGUAAAAGCUGGCACCGGAUUGGAAGAAUUACCAAGCAAUUCAGAAUGGAAAAAAGAUGUUGAAAGGGCUUCAUUCAUGAUGAAUAAGGUAUCAGAAAUUCCUCUAAGCUUGUCACCCAAUUGUGGAAACCUUUCGACCUUAUUACUGAAAAUGAAUGUGUCCUUGAAAAGGAUUUCCGAAUCAUUCUUUCAGCACAUGCAUAGUCUCAGCAUUCUUGACCUUUCUUAUACCGGUAUCAAGCAAUUGCCCAAUUCCGUUUCAAACUUGGAAACGCUCAAUGCAUUGGUGCUUCGUGGAUGCUGCAACUUGAGAUAUGUGCCUUCACUAGAAAAGCUUAAGGCUCUACGAAAGCUAGACCUCCGUGAUACAGCUAUUAAAGAGGUGCCUAAAGGUUUGGAAAUGUUAGUAAAUCUGACAUAUCUUGAUUUAUCUACUGAAAGCUUAAAGGAGUUCCCAAUGGCAAUUCUCCCUCAGCUUUCCUGUCUACAAUAUUUGAUAUUUUACAGUAAAUCACGUACUGUAAAACUGGAUGGAUCGGAAGCUGCCAGAUUAAGGAAGCUAGAGGAAUUUGAAGGGAGAUUUAAUGAGUUGACAGACUUUAAUGACUACACCGACUCUAUACGAAGUCAAAGUCUUACUUCUUACUUGCUUGUCAUGGCACCACCUGAAGCCAAGUUUAAAGUCAAAGAGGGAACCAGAAAAUUAAAGCUUAAGUAUGAUGGUUCAGGAGACAUCACAGUCCCAAAACUAAGGAAAAUGACAAAAGGACUCAAAGGUACGAUCGAAUCAAAUCUAUAUUAUGUUAAUCUACUUUUAUGAUAUUAAUUUCGUCAGUGUUGAUAUUCAUAUUCCUUUUAGUUAUUGAAUAUUUUAUUCAAAACACAUCGAGUUAAAUAUAAAUACAAUAUUUAAAUGAAGGACAACGAUAGAAAAACUUUUUGAGGAUUGGAAUUAAAUUAUAUAUUUAUCUGAUAGUAAAAAUAUAAUUUUACCAUCUUAAUAGUUUAUAUAUUUAUAAUUUUUGAAGGAUUAAAUUAAAAUUUUAUAAUUUUGAGGAAUUAAAAUAUAAUUUUACUAUUAUUAAUUUAAAAAUAAAAAAUUUUCCAGCUGGCCGCCUGCAAACCCCCGGCUUAGCCACUGAUUCAAAUUAUUUGGUAGCAAAAUAAAAAAUAAAAAAAUACAUUUAGCCAAUUGAGCUUUCAAAGUUUUUUAUUAAUCUGGUCCAAACAUUAAUCAAACCUGCUUAUGUGGCAUCAAAAUCAGUUUUCAACAUUUCAUAAUCAUAUUUUGAGGAAAUUGAAAAAUGAGAAAUGCUUUCUAAAUAUAUAAUUGAUUAAAGCCAAUAUUCAAGAAUAAUUUAUAAAUACUUUUAUAUGCUGCUAAAUAUUGAAUAUCUGUGGAAUCUGUGUCCUUUGUAUAUUUGCAUUUUAUUUAUUUUUAGCAUGCCUUUUGUUUCUUUUCGCAUAUUUUUAACAGUUGAAGGUGUGGAAUAUGUGGCCUUUAAAGAGGAAAAUGGACAAGUGAAAGUGAUUGGUGACGUGGAUCCUGUUCGAAUCGUAAUGAAGCUGAGAAAAUAUAUCCAUGUUGAUAUCUUGUCUGUGGGUCCAAACCGGAGGAGCUUUCGCUCUCUUCUACCCAAGAAGGAAGUAAUUUUAAGUGGAUGCCAGAUCGGAAGAGGUCCAGUGAUUCUUCCAACUGAUCUUAUGCUUCUGAGAAUUUUUGAAUCCCACAAUGUGAGAAGCUUAAGCGAUAUCUCCAUAUUCUUCCAACAAGCAAGCCAGUUAAGGUUCUGUUCAGUUGAAGAUUGUAAAGGGAUAGAAUCCAUUCUCGACUCGUCUUUGUCGAACUCGCUUUGCAGACCACUUGAGAACCUUGAGUACUUGUGGCUUGAAAGGUUGGCUAAUUUGCAUGUGCUUAUUAAAUUCGAAGCACCUCUUUCUAUUUCUAGGUCACGGCCUCUACUAGGCAUCUUUUCUCAUCUUAAAUCAUUUGUGAUUAAAAAAUGCCUAAACAUGAAGCAGCUCUUCCCAUUUAAGCUAGCACAUGACCUUCAAAACCUGGAGAAUCUGGUGGUUUGUAAUUGCGUACAAAUGGAGGAAAUAAUAUCAUCAGAGGAAGAGAAUCACAAGGGAAACGGAAUAAACACUCCCAUGAAAUUCAGUCUUCCCAAAUUAAGGGAGUUAGAAUUGAAGAACUUACCAGAGCUGAAGAGCAUAUGCAGUUCAAAUAGGGAAAUGGUAUGCAAUUCUCUUCGGAAUAUUGAAAUAUCGAAAUGUACGAAUCUGAAAAGGAUGCCUCUGUAUCUUCCUCUUUUUCAAGAUACACACCAAUCAGCUCCUUCUGCUCAUCCUUUCGGAAGAAUCCGCAUAUGUCCAAAGGAGUGGUGGGAAUCAGUAGAGUGGGACUAUCCGAAUGCUAAGGAGGUUCUGCGACCUUGGUUGUGCCGUGUUUAGCGCUGCUGGAAGCCUUUGCUGGUCAAAUCAAAUUCCGGAUCAAGCUAAACAGUGAGUCUUCAUUUCUUGCUUUUAUUUCUAGAAAAAAAUUGAAGAUUUUUUAUUCUUCCAAAAAGAAAACGGGAAAACCUACAAGAAGAGGAUUAUGACUGGCAAAAUAGAAACCAAAGAGAACAAAAAUAUUGCUAAUGUUUAAAACAAAUUUAGAUCAAUUAGCAUCAUGCUUUGUUACCAGCUAUCGGCUAAUUUGGUUGAAAAUGGUUUUAAUAAAGCACGGUCCCAUUUGCUUCUUUGUUUAACCCCAAUGAUUAGGCUUGCUCUAGAACCCUUGAGAUUCUCAUUAUGACAUUAAUGAUUUGAAAGAAUGAACAGCCCCUUUUUCUUCUUUAUUUUGUAACUGCAAGCUUUAAGUUGAUAUAAAUAUGUUUUCCAAUGUAGUAUUCUUGUUUGCUUAGAUCAAUGUCAAAAACCUUGCCUCUAAUGCUUCCCCUUCUUCUCCACUCUUUUUUUUAUUUCUUUGUGGGGUUUUAUUAAAUACAGGUUGUUCAUGCCAUUCUAAAGCUAGCAAAGCAGUUGGCUUGACAAUCAAAUCUUGGAGAAACAAAUCAACCCAACUCAUCACUUUACCUUCAUUCUUCUGUGGUGGUUCUAUAUUUGAUGUGGUACUUCGUCGGAUGCAUCCUUCUCUUGUGGUUUUAUCUGUAAUAAUGAACCUUCAAUUUGGUUUCAAUGUGAUUGGAUUGUUGAUGUUGUAAUUCAACUUUGUACUUGAUAAUCCUGCUUCUAGUUUGCAUCAUUUUUUACUAUGUGGUUGUGUUUCUUGUGGCUUAAUUGUCUCAUUUGAUCUUGAACUUGGCACAUUUAUAUAUAUAUUGAACCAUCCCACAGGGAUAUACCACUUCCUGAAAUGGUGUUUUAUUUAGGUGGCCUUUUUGCUAUUGUGAACCAUCCCAAUGCUAAGCAGGAUCUGCUACCUUACUUGGUAAUGCUAUAGCGCUACUGGAAGCCUUUGUACUUUGAUCAUCUUGAUUUUAAUUAAUUUGCAUCUCAUCUUGCGAAUUGGAGUUAAUAAUCUAAGUUGUUUGCUUUUCUCUUCUUGUAUGAUUUUGCCCAUUUUGUGAGUCUCAUAUCAAUUAUAUUUUUUACAAAACAAGUCCUGGAAAAGAUUGCAAAUAGGGUUACAGGAUUGCUGGGAUUUCAAUUUUAUGUGUAUGGAUCAUAUUAUUCAAUUUCUUAGGAUUAGAGCUCAUUUAUUUAUUUAUGCUAGAUUUAUGGCACACGUAAGUUUUGGUUACAAUAAUAAAAUUAAUUCACAUUGUGCAUGAAAUUUUAAAUUCAAAUCACUUUAUAGUAAAUUUUUAUUGAUUUAUAUUAUGUAAAAAAAGACAAAAACACUCUCAUUAAAAAAAUAAUUUAAGUUAAAUAUGGGCGAAUAUUUAAUAAUUCCGUAAUUAAAUUGAUACCUAAUCAAAUUGAUGUCCAAAUGACUUAUGAUAUCAAUUCAAUAACAUAUUUAAAAUAGAUAAUAACUAUAAAAUAAUUUAGGCACUAAUUUCAGAGUGUUGUUAUAUCCAAUACCCAGCACCUAGAGGCAUUCAAGCUAUAGAGAGAGUCCAAAACUCUAUUUAUUCCUUGCAUCUGAUGGUGGGUUCAUGUUUAGACAUAAUCUUUAUAUAAUCUUUGCAAAACUUAAAUGGUUAGAUUGGAGUGCACCUUUAGAAAAUAUUUCUUCAUCAAUGGUUACACAUUAUAAUUAAGGUAGUGUUUUUUUUUUUUGACAUAAUUAGGUACUGUUUUACUGUUGAAUUUAAUGAGUUACUAAUAACUUGUGAAGAUAAAUCUUGUGAAGCAUAAGUAGGUUUUGCAAAAAAAAAAAAUAAAUAAAGAGUUACUAUUACAAAAUCAUAUACAUUAGAAGAGUAUUUUAAAAAACGUUUCCAGCCAUUAAUUGUCAAAAACAAGAUAUAAAAAAAAUUGAUGCAUGUCAAAUUUUCUAUAGACAUUUAAUUUUGUUCCAACAUUUUAAUUUAAAAUUUAUUAGAUUUCGAUUUGAUUAAACGAGCCUUUAUCUAAAUUUUUUAAAUUAAAUUGAUUUGGAUUCAGAAUUAGAAUAAAAAGCUAGUUUUGAAAUUUAUUUUAUUUAAGUUGGAAUGUAUUUUAUUUUGAGUUUAAAUUAAUUAAUAAAAUAAUUUUAAUUUAAUAUAUUAGGGUUUAGGGGAAGUCAAGAUUUUCAGUUGAUUAAGCAAUUUAUUAGUGAUUAACAGAAUUCUUAACGAGAGAGAGUAGUUCAAAAAUUCAUCUUAACUGAAAUAAUUAAAUUUAAAAAAAUUAAUAUAUCAAAAUAAAAUAAUCACAAUAUUGCAUUCAUGUAGUUAUAUAACUCUACUUUUAGUUAUCGAUAAUUAUUUUUUUUAAAAAUAUAUAUAACAAGAAAUUUCAAAAAAAAAAUUUACUUUUUGUUGAGGCUAUAGAUCAAAUGGCUUCUCCAACCGUUAAAACCAUCAUUGUGAAAGAAAAAUCAGCUUGAUCAAAAUUGUAUACAGGAGCUAGAAUUGAAUUACUUUAAUAAUUUAAUUUAUUAAAAAUUUUAAUAUUUUUUUAAUAAAUCAAAUUUUACCCACCCUAAUCUUUUAUAUAUAAAGAAAGACUCUAAACAUUUUUUUUUUUAUAUUUUCAACCAAGUUGAAGCUAAACAAUCUUGAAUCAUGUUUUAGUCAAAUUUAUUAUUUUUAAAUUUGGUGAAGUUGGUUUGAUCCAGCAGUUUACAAAGCUCUUUCAGCCAGUAAUAAGCCAAAUGUGGGGGAAUUUAAAAUUCCGAGAUUUCCCUGAAAUCAUUUAAACAAGUCAACUCAAGUUAAGCUCAUCUCCUUUUAUUCUUCUACAUUGGCUGCUCCAAUACCAUUAUUUUUCACAUCAUUUAGGCAAACAAUUCCGGAGUUGAUACAGCAGACACGGUGAAGCAACGCCAAGGUAACAUAUCUUCUCCACAGUAGCUAAGUAUAUAUUUGUUUACUCUGAAUCAAUAUCUGAUUUGAAUCGCUUUUCUAUUUAGUAGGUCUUGAAUAUUACUCCCAACAAAUUCCUAUUAUCACACGCUUUCCCCCUUUCCCUCAUCUUUGUCUAAUAUUUCAGGUAAGCUUUCCUUUUAUUUUCAAAGAUGAAAGACUAUGCGUGUGGAUUUGAGACUCAUCUGAUUUCUUCUUUGUUUAAGCUAUGGUUUUAGAGGAAUUUCAAAUCCUACUUCCAGAAUUGAGUUUCGCGACAAUCUCUAGUUUUUUCUUUUAAAUAGAAAUGAUCAAAUUACUUAUUCCACCAUUAAAUGUAACAAAAGACUAACAACGCAUUUCCACAUUAAUCACACUAAAACUAGGGGUUGUUGCUACUUUGGUUUACCCAAAUAUAUAUAUAUUUAAAAGUAGAUAACAUUUGAUCUUAUAUUUUUGUUCACGUUAGUUUUUUAAUUUGAUAACUUUUCUCAAUUUUAAUCAUUGCAAUGAUAUUAAAAUAUGGUAUUCUACCAUGUUAUCACCUAAAUCUUUUUAUAAAACUUAUACUUUUUAGAUAAAUGUGACAUAAUAACGGAGUGUCAUAUUAUCACAUAAAUCAAAAUUGAGAAAUUUGUCCAGUUUUGAGAUUAAUUUGGAAAAAAGAGUAUAGAGACUAAGUUAGAAAGUUGUCAAAUUCAAAUAUUACAUGUUGCUUAAUCCUAUUUAAAAAGAAACUGCAAUCAUUUAUAACUCAUUUUUUUAAAAUUACUUAAUAUAACUCAAUUUAGGAUGUGCUUGAUAAACCAUUUAAAAUGAAAAUUUUAAAUAUUCAAAGUCUAUUUGGACAUCACAAGAUAUUUAGUUGGAAAUGUAAUUACAUUAGAUUCUGCAAUUAACAAAAGAAUGACUACAAUAUUUAAUUUUGAAAAAUUGGGUGGUUAAAAUAAAAAAAAUUAAUAGUUUAUUGACCAAGGUAUAAUAAACUAAAUAGUUAAAUGAAUAUUCAUAAAAUAUUUAUUAAUUUAAUUUUAAUAUAUUUCUGAUAACCAAAUUAUAAAAAUAUUCACUAUUGGUCUAACCAAAAUAAUUUACGUGUUUAACAGAAAAGUAUAUUUUAAUUUAAAAUUUUCUUAUUAAGAAUAUCAUAUUUUAAAAAUAAAACACUAAAAAAAUUCAUAAAAAAUAAUAAUAAAAGGGAAAAGCUAAUUAGACAUUUUAGAAAGUUAAAAUGUUUUUAGUUCAAUCAAAGUACUUUGCACGUUGUAUCGAAAGUAUAUUAUUUAAAUUUUAUAAGAAAAAUAUUUUUAAAUAAAUAAAAAGAACAAAAGGAAAAAAUAAAUAUAAUAAGAAAAAUUAUUUUACUGGAAAAAAAAUAAUUCAUAAAAAUUAUACGAAAAGGGAAAAUCAAUUAAAUACUUUAUAAUAUUAUUUUAAAAGAACUCAUAAAAAAAUUAAAUAUUUUAAAAGGGUAAUAAUGUUUUAUUUAAAUAUUUUAUAUACGUAUUUUAGAAGAUUUUAUAUAUUUUGGAAGAAUAUUUUAUUUUUUAAUACUUUUUGGAGCUGACACUUAAUUUAUAUAUUGAUAGAUAUAUAAUCGUACAUUAAAAUCUAUCCUUCAUAAAGAAAUAAGUGUCACUAACGGACGUAGUUAUUAUUACUACAUUGCAGAUUAUUUGGUGAAUUAUGGAACUUGUAGGACCAAUUUGUGAAGUGCUAAAGUGCUUAGGAGAUCCAACAUGUACAUUCAUACAACAUCACAGAAAACUUAAAGACAGGAUGAAUGAUCUUCAAGAGAGACUAAUCCGACUAAAUGCUAUGAAGAGAGAUGUGGAGCGGAGAAAAAAGGCAGAGCUUCGAUGGGGAAGACUUCUAAGGGAAGAAGUAGAGAAGUGGCUUCUAGAUGUGCAAACCGUCAAUGAUACAAUGCGGGACAUUGAUGAACGAAUGCAAAAUGUGUCUUGUUUUUCACGUGCACGCCUUGGAAAACGUGUUGCUCAAACAGUUGAACAAGUGGAGGGAAUUAUUGAACGAGGUAGGUUCCCUGAAGCUCUAGUAAUUGAUAAUCCAUCUACUGCUGGAGUGCCUUUUCAAUCGGAACAUUUAGAAGGUGAAACCAUGGUGAUAGAAGACAUUUGGAACUACUUAAUGAGUGAUGAAAUUGGAAUGAUUGGAGUAUGUGGGAUGGGUGGGAUCGGGAAAACCACUAUCGUGAAGCACAUUUACUAUGAACUAUUGAAGGAGACUAAACCUUUGUUUGAUAAAAUCAUUUGGGUCACUGUUUCAAAGGAGCUCAACAUUCCCAAAUUACAGCAAAACCUUGCAAAUGCUAUGAAUAUUGUAGGUCUUCCAGAAUCUGAACCAGAGCGUGUAGCAGUAUUAAUGGAUAAAUUGGGACGAAGAAGAUAUGUAUUGAUCUUAGAUGAUGUUUGGAAAAAGUUCUCUCUGGCAGAGGUAGGGAUUCCUAAACCAACCUCCAGCAAUGGGAGUAAGUUGGUAUUAACUAGUAGGUUGAUUGAGGUUUGUAGAUCAAUGGACUGUAAGGUAGUCAAAGUACCUCCACUCUCCAAUGAGGAGUCCAUGAAUUUAUUCUUGAAGCAUGCUGGACGUGGGGUUCUAAAGGUUCCAUCUUUGAAAGAAAUUUUGGACAACGUUGUUAAGGAGUGUGAUGGGUUACCCCUUGCCAUUGCUGUAAUAGCUGGGAGCAUGAAGGGAAUAUAUGAUGUUGCGGAAUGGAGGAACGCAUUAAGAGAGUUACGAGACCAUGUAAGAAGCGUGAAGGGCGCAGAUGUUGAAAUAUAUGAGCGAUUGAAGUUCAGUUUCGAUCGUUUGGGAGAUUUGAAAAUCCAAAGUUGUUUCCUUUAUUGCUCACUAUAUCCAGAAGACUAUAUAAUUCCAAGGGAGGAAUUAAUAGAAUACUGGAUAGAUGAGGAAUUUCUUGGAACUGGGAGUCGACAAGAGUUGUAUGAUAAGGGUCAUACUAUAUUAAAUAGGCUGGAAAAUAAUUGUUUGUUGGAAAAGGUUGGUAGAGAUACUGUGAAGAUGCAUGAUGUAAUGAGAGAUACAGCAUUGUAUAUCAAAGGUUCUGGCUCCGAUUUUAAGGUACAAUCUGGCAUUGGACUAAAAGAACUACCAACCAAGCAAGAAUGGGGAGAAGAUCUUGAAAAAGUUUCCUUCAUGGUGAAUAACGUAUCUGAGAUUCCUCCGCACUUGUCACCCAAUUGUGAGGUUCUUUCUACCUUAUUAUUGCAAAAGAAUGAAUCAUUACAAAGAAUUUCAGAAUCGUUCUUUCAACAUAUGCAUAGACUCAGCAUUCUUGAUCUUUCUUAUACCAAUGUCAAGCAACUGCCAACUUCUGUGUCAAACUUGGAAAAGCUCAAAGCAUUGGUGCUUCGUGGAUGCUACAACUUGAGAUAUGUGCCUUCACUGGAAAAGCUUGAGGCUCUAAGAAAGUUGGACCUCAGUCGUACAGCUAUUGAAAAGGUGCCUCAAGGUUUGGAAAUGUUAUCAAAUCUAACAUAUCUCAAUUUAUAUACAAAAAGCUUAAAGGAGCUGCCAGUUGCAAUUCUACCCAGGCUUUCUUGUCUGCAAUGUUUGAUAUUAUACGUUGAAUCAAGUCGUGUAAAAAUGACUGGAUUCGAUGCUGCCAGAUUAACGAAGCUAGAGAGAUUUGAAGGGAGAUUUACUGAGUUGAUAGACUUUAAUGCCUACACCAAGUCUAUACAAUGUCAACUGCUCACUUCUUACUUGCUUGUCAUGGCACCACUUGAAGCCAAGUUUAACGUCAAACAACGUAUAAAAGGCAUAAAUUGUGUUUACCGUUUCAAGUUGUUGAAUGUGG
rnacentral:lncRNA from 1 species